rnacentral:tRNA from 1 species
GGGUUCUGGCCAAAUCUGUUGACGGGCAAUUGUGUUUACAGGAACCUGAAAACGGCUGGCAGCUGACUCUUAAUCAGCGGGUCACAGGUUCGAUCCCUGUCGCACCCACCA